AAUUAAGAAAUUAUUCUUUUGGGACUUGCAAACCAAGAGAUACGUAUAUUUUGAAAAAGAUGCAUGUUAUGACUUUAUUCUUCAAAACGUGGCUCAAAAUACUUCUCAAGCUUGGUUUUAUGAUAGAAGUGUGGUUUGGGAAAAGGUAAUCAUAACUUACAAAAAACAAAUAAGAAAAAAAAGGUCAGGAAAAGGGACUGACAGGUACCCAAGGGCAGGGUGGGGUGGAGGGAGCAAGAAUUAGACCAGAGCGCAGCUCUAGCUAGAAACAGUGCCUCUCCCAAAGUGGGUCUGCCACUGUAGCCAACGCAGCGCUUCUGGAAAGCUCAUCUACAAAACUCCCAGGGCAGGGCGGGCAGGGCAGGGGUUGGCAAGACUCCUAAAGAACAACACAAAGGAGUAUAUUCUCAAGAGGUGAUGGUCUUGACGGGGAAAGUAGUGUCUCUUUUCCUCUUUCCAAGCUUCAAGCCUCCACUUUUUUCCUUCUGUCUCCACCUAGCCCCAGUACUGGGGACAAAUCAAGUUAAGGUCAAGCCAGCCGCCAAGGUUCACCGAGGACGCAGGCAGCAAGACUUUGUUUCUAGUUGCGGGGAUCUUCCCCUCGCGUGUAGUCUCCACGGCAAACUGCGCCCGACUCAGCCCGUUUCACCUCACUCCUGAGCACUCGGAGCCGGGUCGCGGGGCAGGAACAGCCGACCGCGGCGUGGGCACCCGAGGGGCGCACCCAGCUCUCGCCUUUCACUCGCGGGCUCCCCUGUCCCUCUGGCCGGCCGGGCCGCACCGGAGCCACCCUGCGCCCGCUUCUAGAUGGCGCCCGUCGCAUGCCGCGCCCGCUCUCCUCGCUGGCUGACCGCUUCUCGCUCGGAGUUCAAGAUUCCCGCCGCUACAAUCGCGCCACAGCCUCACCCCCAUCUCGUCGUUUGUUUUUUUUAACUUUCUUUAGCGCUAAACUCCGUCGCUACAAAGCUCUGUUCUCAGUCGGCUCCGCCAGGGGGUUCAGCGAGGAACCCGAGGUCUGGAGACGCCCCGGCGGGGCGGGGCGGGGGCGGGGCGCAGCCACCUCCCUCACCGGGGAGCCCGGCUUGGCCCCACCCCAGCCGCUGCCAUCCUCGGGGUCGGUGCCAGGCAACUCAGCCGAGACGCGCUGGCUCGCGAUGGCGACCGGGAGACACCCGGCGAGGGGAGGCGGGGUCGGGGAGGCGCGGAGCGCACGGAGGCGGAGGCUGGCAGGGGGCGCUGGAGGCUGGGGCGGUCGGCGCGCUCUCCGCGCCCGAGGGAGCCAGAGGCUCUAAAGCGGCGGUUGGACCGGCGGCCCCCGGCGGCUGCUGGGCCGUGGGGGAGCGGCUCCUGAGCCCCUUUGUUCUCGCGCAAGGCGCCUCGCCGCCCACUCCCCUGCUGUCGCGCGGCGGCGGCGGCUCCUCUCGCGCGGGG
rnacentral:lncRNA from 1 species